rnacentral:rRNA from 1 species
GGCGUAAAGGGCGCGUAGGCGGAUUAUCAAGUCUCUUGUGAAAUCUAAUGGCUUAACCAUUAAACUGCUUGGGAAACUGAUAGUCUAGAGUGAGGGAGAGGCAGAUGGAAUUGGUGGUGUAGGGGUAAAAUCCGUAGAUAUCACCAAGAAUACCCAUUGCGAAGGCGAUCUGCUGGAACUCAACUGACGCUAAGGCGCGAAAGCGUGGGGAGCAAACAGGAUUAGAUACCCUGGUAGUCCACGCCCUAAACGAUGUACACUAGUUGUUGGGGUGCUAGUCAUCUCAGUAAUGCAGCUAACGCAUUAAGUGUACCGCCUGGGGAGUACGGUCGCAAGAUUAAAACUCAAAGGAAUAGACGGGGACCCGCACAAGCGGUGGAGCAUGUGGUUUAAUUCGAAGAUACGCGAAGAACCUUACCUGGGCUUGAUAUCCUAAGAACCUUUUAGAGAUAAGAGGGUGCUAGCUUGCUAGAACUUAGAGACAGGUGCUGCACGGCUGUCGUCAGCUCGUGUCGUGAGAUGUUGGGUUAAGUCCCGCAACGAGCGCAACCCACGUAUUUAGUUGCUAACGGUUCGGCCGAGCACUCUAAAUAGACUGCCUUCGUAAGGAGGAGGAAGGUGUGGACGACGUCAAGUCAUCAUGGCCCUUAUGCCCAGGGCGACACACGUGCUACAAUGGCAUAUACAAUGAGACGCAAUACCGCGAGGUGGAGUAAAUCUAUAAAAUAUGUCCCAGUUCGGAUUGUUCUCUGCAACUCGAGAGCAUGAAGCCGGAAUCGCUAGUAAUCGUAGAUCAGCCAUGCUACGGUGAAUACGUUCCCGGGUCUUGUACUCACCGCCCGUCACACCAUGGGAGUUGAUUUCACUCGAAGCCGGAAUACUAAACUAGUUACCGUCCACAGUGGAAUCAGCGACUGGGGUGAAGUCGUAACAAGGUAACCGUAGGAGAACCUGCGGUUGGAUCACCUCCUUU